GACGAACGCUGGCGGCGUGCUUAACACAUGCAAGUCGAACGGAAAGGCCCUGCUUUUGUGGGGUGCUCGAGUGGCGAACGGGUGAGUAACACGUGAGUAACCUGCCCUUGACUUUGGGAUAACUUCAGGAAACUGAGGCUAAUACCGGAUAGGAGCUCCUGCUGCUUGGUGGGGGUUGGAAAGUUUCGGCGGUUGGGGAUGGACUAGGGGCUUAUCAGCUUGUUGGUGGGGUAGUGGCUUACCAAGGCUUUGACGGGUAGCCGGCCUGCGAGGGUGACCGGCCACAUUGGGACUGAGAUACGGCCCAGACUCGUACGGGAGACAGCAGUGGGGAAUAUUGCACAAUGGGCGGAAGCCGGAUGCAGCAACGCCGCGUGCGGGAUGACGGCCUUCGGGUUGGAAACCGCUUUCGCCUGUGACGAAGCGUGAGUGACGGUAAUGGGUAAAGAAGCAACGGCUAACUACGUG
rnacentral:rRNA from 1 species